GGAUUAUUUACUGUAUAACAUGAAGUACCAUCUCGUUUUUCAUCCAAUUUUUGAACACGCUUCUUCUGUUUGUAUGCGUUCCAUAUUCGAAUUGUUUUAUCCCAGGAGGCUGACACGUACUACAUGUCUUUCCCACUUCUGUAAAUCGCCAUCAUUACCACCGCUGAAGAUUAGGAUUGGUACUUUCUUGGCUGUAAGUAUACAAAAUGGAAGAAUGGUUUGAAAACUAUGGAUAGAUAUCAGAUAACUACUUUAUAAAAUAAAGGAGUUCAACCUCAUUUGCAUAACUUACUGUACGUAAGGCAUUCUGCAGCAUGUUUGCACUUCAACGCUGUG